UGAAAAAAACAACAACAUAAAAAAAGACUACUUAAAACAAACCAAACAGGAAAGAACAAUCCAAAAUACCGCUGUCAAACACUGCAUGUACAAACACAGGCCCCUCUGUGGCCCAAACAGAGACAAACCCCAGCCACUGUUGGUAGUUAGUGAGUCGUACGAGGGAAAACAAAAAGGUAACGCGUCCUGAGUCCACCUGCUGGGUGCAAUAGCUUUUGCAGCUUUUAUUUAUUU